CUAGGGAGUUGUGGGCGAACUCCAGGUGAGUGGGCAGUUUUGUUUUCGUAUUACCUAUAUACUAUUGUUUUUCCCAGAAAAAAAUGCUUUUAUGCGAAAUUAUGUUUUGAAAAUGCCAUGCAUAGAAUUAAUUGGAAAAUGUGAAUUUCAUAUGAGUUAUAUGAUUGAUAUAUAUGAGGCAUACAUGUUGCAUGGUGCUGUGGAGGCACAGGUAAGUCAGGUGAGUUCGUUUAUUCAUUGAAUUGUUGUUGUUGAGAUGUUUGAGCUCAUAAUCUGCACCCUAGGUGUUAGUGCUUAUAUUAUUCACCACACCGCACGCUCGCCUUGGAUCCAAGUAGGUGGAUGUCGUACAGACCAUGUGAGGGUUCCGACAUGCCAGUCGUACAGACCAUUAGAGGGGUUCCGACUGGUGGGUGACCUUAGAUAUGCGCGCUGAUGAUAUGAUGAGAGAAGCACUAGAGCGUAUUUUACACCUUUCAUCGUAUAGACUACCUUACGUAGUUCCGAGUGAUGUGCAGAGUAGGGCCGUAUAGGUCACUGUGGUGACUCCGGCUUAGUGAGAUAUUGAGCUAUUGAAUUAAUCGUAUAGGACCAACUGCAGGGUCUCCGAUUGAUUCCUUAUUUCACCUGAUUUAUAUUUUGAUUUAUGGCAUGGCAUGUUUUUCUUGAAAAAUGUUAAAGAUUUGGGAUUCAAGCUUUGAGAUUUCAUAUGGUUAUAUAUAUAAUAUAUAUAUAUAUAUAUAUAUAUAUAUAUAUAUAUUUCUGAAAAGUGUUAAAGGUUUGAGAUUUGAGCUUUUUGCUUAUAUAUAUGUUAUAUAUAUGCUAUUUUCUGGGAAAGUAUACAGGUUUUACGGUGAGGGGUUAUAAAUGUUUUAAAUGAAAAGUCUUCGAAAAACUUUGUUUUACUGACCCACUCAAUUUUGUUUUGCGCCCCUCCAGGUUCAAGUUAGCAGAGCUUUGGUGGCCACGAGGAAUCCAACGGUGUUCUGACAGAAUUCACAAAAGUAGGACUCACCCUCGGGUGUGUUAUCUUAGUAAUUGGAAUUUUUUUUUUAAAAGCUUCCGAACUGUGUAAAUGGUUACGUCACUCUCACGUGACGGCCAGCACGCCCUCCUUCGGGACGGGGUGUGUCAGUUGGUAUCAGAGCCUAGGUUGCAAUUCUGGACAUCUUGAUAAUUUCCUAGUGUCUUCUGUCAGAACUAUACCGCCUCGUAGCGAGCCACGUAGUUCGGAUGAGCCUAAUUUCCCUGAUAUAGUAGUUUGGGGGGAAACUAUUGCCAUUGUGAUUCAGUCUAUUAUCUAAAGGGACCUUUUGAGACUGGUUAUAAGUUAAAUUUGAAUCCUUUAGGGAUAUGAAGGACCUAAGGGAGCAGAUUGAUGGCUUAAUCAAUUGGGAAAAGGCGUUUCAGAUUAUGCAAGGUUAAGGGAAUUUUCCUCCCGAUAGGUAGGUCGAGAUGAUUACCUAGUUUUUGAGUGAUGAAUCUGCAUUUUGAUGGAGAUAGGAAUGUUAUCCGACAAUAUCGGAAGGACAACUGUUUGGAAGUUGUUUAAAAGAAUUGUUUAAGAAAAGUUCAUUCCCCCGGCAUAUUGUGAUGGUAGUAAACAAGAAAUUGCAAAUGUGAGACGAGGAAAAUGACGACGGAUGAAUAUUAUAGAAAGCUUACAGACUUGCCUUAUUUCCAUUCUGAUGAUGUUGUUAAUUCGGUCGAGGUGUUAUGUCGUUUUUGGCUGGAUGAUAAGAAGAAGUUGCGUUCUUUGGCGAUCACUAUCCAUUGUACUUUUUACCAAGAGUUUACGGGAUGCUGUUGGGCUUUGAAGACUUUGAGAAUAUGAUCAGCGAGAGUAAAGAGGAAUAAGAAAGGAAUGAGAAUCAGAAUAAGACGAUAAAGUUAAAGAUUCGUCAUAUCAAAGACCUCGGAGGACUCAGAGCUUCAAAGGAAGUGAAAUUAGAGCUAAUUUUCCCAGCUUAAGUUUUACUGCCACUGGUCAGAGGCGAAGUGAUAGAUUUACUAGUGAUCCCAGAUUUCUGAGACAAGAUGACUCUGGUAGAGGAAAUGUAUAAUUGUGUCAAGCUAGAUUGCUAUGGGGAAUCAGUUAAUUUUUGUUGACCUGGAUGACCAGAGGUUACUUUUGGGGGUAAGUAAAGUGGAGUGAGUUAUGUCAUUAUUCCUGUUGAGAGAGCAAAGAAGAUUGUUAUCAAAAGGCUGCCAAGAUAUUGAGUUCAUAUGGUGCUAAAUGAUGUUGAUCCUAAUAGUAUGGAAGAUGUAAAGAUGGUUAGACAUUUUCUUGGUGUAUUCCCAGAUGCCUUACCUAGAUUGCCGCCAGGCAGAGAUGUGGGUUUUAUUAUUGAAUUGUUUUUAGGUACAAAUCCUAUGUUAGAGAUUGGUUCAGGUUGAGUUAAAAGUUCCAUUCAACUUAUUAUAUCACAUUGGAAAAGCUCCGGGUUAUUUGUGAGGAAGAAAAUGGACAUUAAGGCUAGGCAUUGAUAUUAUGUAAUUGAAUCGGGUAACGAUUGAGAGCUGUUAUCCAUUGUUGUGUAUUGAUGAUUAUUUGAUCAGCUCUGAGGCGCCUGGGUACUUUCUGAGAUUGACUUGAGGUCUGAAUGAUAUUAGUUGAAGAUUAACAGUGGGGAUGUUCAUAAGACUGAAUCCAGGACUCGUUAUGGUCAUUUCAAGUUGGGAGGCCAUACGGAGUGACGAAUGCACCUGCUACUUUUAUGAGUUUGCUGAAGGAAGUAUUCCAGUGAUAUCUGGACCGGGUUGUUAUUGUUUGCCAUUGACGAGAUUGAUAAGAUUAGAGCAGUGCAUGCUAGAUAUUUAAAGUUGGUGUUGCAAAGAUUGAGGGAACGUUGAUGUAUGCUAAGUUUAGCAAAUGCUAAUGUUGGAUAAAUUAAUUAUAUCUACUUAAGGUAUUCAAAUGGAUUCUUAAAAGAGUAGCAACGAUUGAGAAUUUGGAACAAUUGCGAACUGUGACUGAGGUUCAGAGUUUUCUUGGAUUAGCAGGAUAUUAUCGAUAGUUCGUCCAAGAUUUUAAUUAUUGCUUCGCCCUUGGCGAGAUUGAUGAGAAAAGAGGUUAAGUUUGAGUGGGAUAAAAAAAAAAAAAAAAUUUGUGAGUAGAGCUUCAGCAAGUAAAGUAUUCCCUCACUCAUGCAUCUGUUUUCGCACUCCCAGACGAUAGUGGUAAUUAUGUGGUCUAUAAUAAUACUUCUUUGAAUGUACUUGGAUGCGUGUUGAUGCAACAUGGUAGGAUGAUUGCCUAUGCUUCAUGGCCAUUGGGAUCUCAUAAGAUGAAUUACCCUAAUUAUAAUUUGGAAUUAGCAGCUAUCAUCUUUGCUUUGAGAAUUUGGAGACAAUGUCUUUAUGGGAAGAAAAGUGCAUGAUUGUUACAAAUCAAAAGAGUACCCAAUAUCUGUUUAUUCAGAGGUAUCUUAAUCUUAGGCAACAAAGGUGGAAUGAGUUGCUUAGUGAUUAUGAUUGUGUGACGAGGGUGGUCAAGCUAAUGUUGUGGCUGAUGCAUUUAGUAGGAAGACCCCAGUGAGAAUUAAUGCUUGGUACGCUUGCUAUGUUCAUCUUCUUGUGGAUUUGAAAUCUACUGGAGUAAAGUUGAGUAUCAAAAAUCGAGAAGAAGCCUUACUUGCUAAUUUAAUGCUUGGUACGCUUGCUAUGUUCAUCUUCUUGUGGAUUUGAAAUCUACUGGAGUAAAGUUGAGUAUCAAAAAUCGAGAAGAAGCCUUACUUGCUAAUUUCUAAGUUGGACCCAUUUGGUAGAUCGUACUCGAUACUCGAGCGUUUGACGAAGAAAUUCAAGAAUUUAUUUAAAGCAAGGAAUAACGGGAAAAAGAAGGACCUUAGAGUUAGAGAAUCAGAUGGCAAGCCUAUGCAAAAGAACAAAGUGUUUAUGCCUAAUGGUGUGGAAUUAAAGAAAGCAAUUUUGACGAUGUACAUUAUUCCACUUCUACAAUGCAUCCCAAAAGUACUAAGAUUUAUCAUACCGUUCGUUCAUGUACUAUUGACGGGUAUGAAAAGAGGAAUGGCGAAGUAUGUUAGUAGGCGUAUCAUCAGUCAUCAGGUUAAAGCAGAAAGAAAUAAGUCUUUUGGAAUAAUGUAGUCAUUUCCCAUUCCACGGUGGAAAUGGGAGAAUAUUACUAUGGAUUUCGUGGACAAGCUUCCUCGUAUACAAAAUAGUUAGGUUGGAAUUUGAAUAAUAAUUGAUCGGCUGGUGACGUCAACGUAUGUUACUUCAGUAUGAGAACACCAACCUUUCCAGACAAGCGCAACAUUUAUUUGUUUGUUUUAUGGAAAAAGAGAUUUGGGAUCUGUUAAACUUCUUGGGUAUGUUGGUCCCUUCAGUUUGUUCCCUAGAGUAACGCCAUAAGGCCGUGUAAAGCUAUGUCUUGUGUUUCGAAAUUGUUAGAAUUGGGGACGGAUAGUAUUCAAGGCCCUGAGUUAGUGGAUGAGACUAUUCGGAAUAUUCAAGUAAUUAAGUCUAACCUGGAAGUGGGCCAGGAUCGGCUGAAGAGCUUAGCAGACAAACAUGCCACUGACCGGAUGUAUAUGUAGGUGAUCGAAUGAUUUUGAAAUUAUCACCUUGGAAAAGUAUGAUUCGUUUUAAAAAAAGAAAAACAAGUAAGUCCUAGAUACGUCAGACCAUCUGUGAUCAUUGAACGAGUCAGUGAAGUUACGUACGGGCUGAGUUGCCUCCAGAGCCGAUGAAAGGGCAUGAUAUGUUUUAUGUUUCGAUACUUCGACAUUAAACCUCAUAUCCUUCACGAGUGAUACCUUCUCAACCUUUGGAAGUCAAUAUGGAUUUGACGUAUGAUGAGGAGCCAGUGCCUAUCUUUUAUUAGAAAGAUGAUGUACUGAGAAAUAAGACUAUGAGUUUGGUGAAAGUUUAUGGAGGAAUCUUUCAGUGGAAGAAGCUACUUAGAAAUCAAAGAAUCGAAUGAGAGAGAUGUGUUUCGGGCUGUUUCAUGGAUAUUGAUGGAUUGUAAAGAUUGUGUAAAUUUCGAGGACGAAAUUUCUGUAAGGUGGGUAGAUUGUGACAGCCCGUCCCUAAUUUUAAGAAUUUUUAAAGUUUUAAUAAAGGAUUUUACAAAAAUGCCCUUCGAGGCACGCACAUCAUUCGAGGUUAAUCGUUGUGUCGUGCCAUCUAAGAUUUGUUUUCUUGGCAUAUCCUCGUAGUACUCGUCGUUACGGACGUGUGGGCGCAGACGGUUCGUGAUUUGGAGUUAUAUCGAAGAAGUUAUUAACGUUUGAAAUUUGGAAUUUUAAGGAAUUAUAAUUUUAGUAAAAUAUAGAAAUUCUUUUAUUAAAAUUUGGAUGGCCCAGAUUAAAGGAUUUUGAAAUGGAUGGCUGGGAUGAGAAAAAUGAAAGUUUUGUGUGGGUGUGUGCGUGGGAAGAACCAGAAAACAGAAAAGAGGAAGAGAGAUUGGGCAAAAACUGCCCAAUCGGAGAAGAAGGAGAGAGAGCGAAUCAGAGGCAGAGAGGGGAAGAAACUGACCAAUCGGAACAGGGAAAGGAGGAAGGGAGAGAGGGUGAGAAGCGGAGGAAAAGAGGAAAUGGGUUGGGGAGAACCCGUGGGUCGUUUCGACCCGGCGGUGCCCACGCCCAAAUUCGAUGGAUUUCGUCCAAAUUUCCGACGAAUUGAGUCAAGGUACCACUCCUAAUCAUCAUCUAGGCCUUCCCUCUUUACGUUUCACCCCAAGAAUCAUUGAAUUUCGUUGUGAUUUCGCGAAGAACACCCCUACGGGUGCCGCGACCCUUUUGUUUAAAUUCUCCAAAUUUUGAAAUGUUUUCUUUCAAUUACUAACACCUUUAGCAUUCCUUUAGGACCUAGAACAAAGCCCAAGAGGUAAUUGAGGCGUUGGAACAAGUUUGAAGGUCGAAUUGGAAACACCCAAAUUCUAGGGUUCUUCACGGUUUUGGUGAAAUUGAAGCACUUCCAGGCCAAAUUGGCCUUGGUCUCAGGUAUGAAAGUUGUUCUACUCAUUGAGAUCUUCAAAUCUGCAAAUUUUGGUAAUUUUUGGAAAUAGUUGAAUUUUCCGGCGAGCCGGGGGCGGCCAACCGCCACCCGCGGCGGCCCGCGCGGCGGCGCGUGGCCAAUGGCCCGCCAAUGUCAUUAUUAGCUUGUGAUUAAGGUUCUAGGUUCUGUUUUGAUAAUUGAUGGACGUAAAUUGAAUAAUUGAACCUAAGUUGGUUACGAUUCGUGGUUAGAUGAAAAUGUGAAUUGACGAUCCGACCGUUGGAUCGUCAUCAAACUUUGAUACGUUGUAAUACGUAAUAUUUGAGGAUUAUAGGAACUUACGGAUUGGGAAUCCGAUUUACGGAUCUUCUGGAAUUGAAGUUGUAAGUUCAUAAAAUAGAAUGUUAACCGUCACUUAGUUUUGGAAAUUGACGAAGAUCCGACCGUUGGAUGGUAAUGAAAUUUUAGGAUGUUGUCCUAGAGGUAUAUUGUGGACCUCUGGAAGUUACGGAUUUGAAAUCUGAAUUGCAGAUCAUCCGGAUCGAACUACGUAGUGACGUGUCUUAUAUAAGUUAUGUAUUCUAUCGGCAGAAUUUCUGAGGUUGGAUUUGAUUGUUGUUCUAGGCGCUAAUCGUCAUGACGCCUUGAUGUACGGUGCUAGGGAGUUGUGGGCGAACUCCAGGUGAGUGGGCAGUUUUGUUUUCGUAUUACCUAUAUACUAUUGUUUUUCCCAGAAAAAAAUGCUUUUAUGCGAAAUUAUGUUUUGAAAAUGCCAUGCAUAGAAUUAAUUGGAAAAUGUGAAUUUCAUAUGAGUUAUAUGAUUGAUAUAUGAGGCAUACAUGUUGCAUGGUGCUGUGGAGGCACAGGUAAGUCAGGUGAGUUCGUUUAUUCAUUGAAUUGUUGUUGUUGAGAUGUUUGAGCUCAUAAUCUGCACCCUAGGUGUUAGUGCUUAUAUUAUUCACCACACCGCACGCUCGCCUUGGAUCCAAGUAGGUGGAUGUCGUACAGACCAUGUGAGGGUUCCGACAUGCCAGUCGUACAGACCAUUAGAGGGGUUCCGACUGGUGGGUGACCUUAGAUAUGCGCGCUGAUGAUAUGAUGAGAGAAGCACUAGAGCGUAUUUUACACCUUUCAUCGUAUAGACUACCUUACGUAGUUCCGAGUGAUGUGCAGAGUAGGGCCGUAUAGGUCACUGUGGUGACUCCGGCUUAGUGAGAUAUUGAGCUAUUGAAUUAAUCGUAUAGGACCAACUGCAGGGUCUCCGAUUGAUUCCUUUAUUUCACCUGAUUUAUAUUUUGAUUUAUGGCAUGGCAUGUUUUUUCUUGAAAAAUGUUAAAGAUUUGGGAUUCAAGCUUUGAGAUUUCAUAUGGUUAUAUAUAUAUAAUAUAUAUUAUAUAUAUAUAUAUAUAUAUAUAUAUAUUUCUGAAAAGUGUUAAAGGUUUGAGAUUUGAGCUUUUUGCUUAUAUAUAUGUUAUAUAUAUAUGCUAUUUUCUGGGAAAGUAUACAGGUUUUACGGUGAGGGGUUAUAAAUGUUUUAAAUGAAAAGUCUUCGAAAAACUUUGUUUUACUGACCCACUCAAUUUUGUUUUGCGCCCCUCCAGGUUCAAGUUAGCAGAGCUUUGGUGGCCACGAGGAAUCCAACGGUGUUCUGACAGAAUUCACAAAAGUAGGACUCACCCUCGGGUGUGUUAUCUUAGUAAUUGGAAUUUUUUUUUUAAAGCUUCCGAACUGUGUAAAUGGUUACGUCACUCUCACGUGACGGCCAGCACGCCCUCCUUCGGGACGGGGUGUGUCA
rnacentral:lncRNA from 1 species